rnacentral:rRNA from 1 species
AGUGGCGGACGGGUGAGUAACACGUGGGUAACCUGCCUAAAAGAAGGGGAUAACACUUGGAAACAGGUGCUAAUACCGUAUAUCUCUAAGGAUCGCAUGAUCCUUAGAUGAAAGAUGGUUCUGCUAUCGCUUUUAGAUGGACCCGCGGCGUAUUAACUAGUUGGUGGGGUAACGGCCUACCAAGGUGAUGAUACGUAGCCGAACUGAGAGGUUGAUCGGCCACAUUGGGACUGAGACACGGCCCAAACUCCUACGGGAGGCAGCAGUAGGGAAUCUUCCACAAUGGACGCAAGUCUGAUGGAGCAACGCCGCGUGAGUGAAGAAGGUCUUCGGAUCGUAAAACUCUGUUGUUAGAGAAGAACACGAGUGAGAGUAACUGUUCAUUCGAUGACGGUAUCUAACCAGCAAGUCACGGCUAACUACGUGCCAGCAGCCGCGGUAAUACGUAGGUGGCAAGCGUUGUCCGGAUUUAUUGGGCGUAAAGGGAACGCAGGCGGUCUUUUAAGUCUGAUGUGAAAGCCUUCGGCUUAACCGGAGUAGUGCAUUGGAAACUGGAAGACUUGAGUGCAGAAGAGGAGAGUGGAACUCCAUGUGUAGCGGUGAAAUGCGUAGAUAUAUGGAAGAACACCAGUGGCGAAAGCGGCUCUCUGGUCUGUAACUGACGCUGAGGUUCGAAAGCGUGGUAGCAAACAGGAUUAGAUACCCUGGUAGUCCACGCCGUAAACGAUGAAUGCUAGUGUUGGAGGGUUUCCACCCUUCAGUGCCGCAGCUAACGCAAUAAGCAUUCCGCCUGGGGAGUACGACCGCAAGGUUGAAACUCAAAGGAAUUGACGGGGGCCCGCACAAGCGGUGGAGCAUGUGGUU